ensembl:lncRNA
GGGCCACGAAGUAUAUACCCGACCCAUUCUUCAAAUCUGGGGAAAUGAGGGGCGCAUUUGUCAGCCGCAUUUGUCGGAGUCUUCAAAUUUGGACAGUCUUCGUCGUGUCGCUGUAACGUAAUCGGCCUACAAAUGUGGCCUCCAAAGGAUGCGCCCCCUGAAUUUGUAUACAGCUACGAUACCGGAGACUGCUUCUUCUUCUUCGGGGUUUAAUGGCAGCUGGCAUUCUUGUACAUGCAGUGCUGGCACCUUCUGUUUCAGACUGUUAUUACACUCUUAAAUCCUACUGCUUAUUCCUGUGUCUUUCGGGAUCUUCUUACAAAGCUUCAAACGACGCGUUGACUAUUAAAUUAGUCGUCGAUGAUUUUGAUUGUGGCAGCCAUAUAAAACACACAGUGGUAGUUCUUCCAUUUAAAGGGAAAAUUCAUUCAAAUCACUAAAGCUGAUUAUACACUGGAUGCAAUAAUGUUUAAUAUUUAGUAUUUACUGUUGUAUUCCCAUAGAUCAUCGUGAUGUUGGUUAUGUUGCUCUUUUUUUUUCUUCUGCAUGUUUUCUCUUUUUUCUUUCUCAACAGGUGAUCCAGGUGAUUGAUAUAUGUAUUUUUUGUCUGCUUAUUUUGUUGGUUUUUGUUUUUUGCCCUUUAUCACCGUCCCUCUUCCCCGCUGUUUUUCUUGCCCUCUUUCUUUCCCCUUUCUUUUCCCCAGUCAAGUCUGUCUCGUAUUUAGCAAGUGAAAAUAAAAUAAAAUAAACAAUAAAAGGUGAAUCAAAUAGACCAUCACGGCAAGGCUGGGAUGGUCCAUUUGGUAAAGUAAAUCCGUUGGGCAUCUUUCUUCGCCUUUAGACAAUAAUUCUGAUGGCAAAAGAGCCAAACGGGACAGGCAAAAAACAAUAAAAAAUAUAAAUGGGUAGAAAAUGGCGAUUUUUCAAGGGAAAUGGCUCUAAGGCAUAUUGAGAGAUUGAGUUAAUCAGGAAACGAGCUGUAGUAUCAAAUGGAUCUUUUUGUUUUGGAAGCAAUGGAAAAGGUAAGUCUGAUUUCAUGUUAUUGUUUUUGUGGUCUUCUUUUGUGGUUGGUUCAGUAAACUUUGGUCCAAGUAUGACAAAACUUGCAGUUUUGGAAUCUGUGAGAUUUCAACUUUGAGGAAAUGUAUUGUUUGAUUGGUUAGCCAGUGUUCCGUUCGUGUAACUACUUCUUACAUUACGUUUCUCCACAAAAUGACCAUUCAGUCAGCUUUAUUAUCACUCUGGGCUCUUGGCUAGCUUAACUUUAGCUUGCUGUCUGUGCAGGUGCUUGAAAAGAACCAAUUUUGUGUUGCAACAUAAUGCAGUCGCUUCUGUCCUGCGUAAUUUGCACUUUGCCAUUGCAUUUGCAUCCUUUUGUGCAAUA